GGGUGAUUAGCUCAGUUGGGAGAGCGCUUGCUUUACACGCAAGUGGUCGGGGGUUCAAGUCCCUCAUCACCCACCA
rnacentral:tRNA from 1 species